UCCCCUUCGGGGGACAAAGUGACAGGUGGUGCAUGGUUGUCGUCAGCUCGUGUCGUGAGAUGUUGGGUUAAGUCCCGCAACGAGCGCAACCCUUAAGCUUAGUUGCCAUCAUUAAGUUGGGCACUCUAAGUUGACUGCCGGUGACAAACCGGAGGAAGGUGGGGAUGACGUCAAAUCAUCAUGCCCCUUAUGAUUUGGGCUACACACGUGCUACAAUGGACAAUACAAAGGGCAGCGAAACCGCGAGGUCAAGCAAAUCCCAUAAAGUUGUUCUCAGUUCGGAUUGUAGUCUGCAACUCGACUACAUGAAGCUGGAAUCGCUAGUAAUCGUAGAUCAGCAUGCUACGGUGAAUACGUUCCCGGGUCUUGUACACACCGCCCGUCACACCACGAGAGUUUGUAACACCCGAAGCCGGUGGAGUAACCUUUUAGGAGCUAGCCGUCUAA
rnacentral:rRNA from 1 species